rnacentral:rRNA from 1 species
CUCUGUGGCGAUUCCUGCUUGUCAAUACCCGAUCUCAUCAGACCUUGGAAGCUAAGCAAGACCGGGCCUGGUUAAUACUUGAACAGGAGACCAUUGGGA